rnacentral:rRNA from 1 species
UACGGGGGGGCAAGCGUUGUUCGGAAUUACUGGGCGUAAAGGGCUCGUAGGUGGCCAACUAAGUCAGACGUGAAAUCCCCAGGCUCAACCUGAGAACUGCGUCUGAUACUGGAUGGCUUGAAUUCGGGAGAGGGAUGCAGAAUUCCAGGUGUAGCGGUGAAAUGCGUAGAUAUCUGGAGGAAUACCGGUGGCGAAGGCGGCAUCCUGGACCGAGAUUGACACUGAGGAGCGAAAGCCAGGGGAGCAAACGGG